CAUUAUGAUGCUAUAGAAACACCAAUAAGUCUUGCCUGCUGGCUGAGAGGACUUUGUGGUUUGCAGAAAUAGCAGUCACAGCUGUGUGAGUUUUCUCUUGUGGAUUCACAGAAGGCCAGCCUCCAGAAGGAAUCUUCUUUCCCCUCUUACCAUUGGAGCCUUCUGUAUUUCCCUUCAGACUUCCUAACUCAAUGCAGCUCAGAGGAAUUAAACACAGGGUAGUUCCAGGAAAAAGAAAACUAAAGAAAUUGUCCCAGAAAUAAAAACCCCUUGAGUGUCUCACCCAUUAGAUGUGUUGAUGUGAAAGGUGGGAGCUCACUGAACCCACUUCUUCCCUUGCAUGGCUCAGUCUCCCACAGAGGUGAGGUUGGAUCUGAGCCACUCUCUGUUGGGAGGAAGGGUCCUGUGGCAGCCCAGAGAGGCUGUGCUCAUUGCCAGGGAACAGCUGUGCCCUGCAUGUGCCCCCUGCAAGGAGCUGUGCUGCUGCCAGGGCCCCUGGAGCUGUAGGGCUGCUGAGCUGUGGGGCAGGGAGAGGAGCAGGGUUGUGCAUGUGCAGCUGAGCCAUUCCUGGAGAGCACAGGGCUCUGGGCUCCCUGCUGUCCCAGGGCAGUGCAGAGGCCAGGCUGUUCCUGUGGGAGCUCUGGGGAAGUGGGGCAGGGUUUUCCCCUUGGCCUGCCUCAAGUUGCUGCCAGCAGGGGCAUGUUUCCCUGUGCAGCUGUUUAGAAGUUUCCAAGGAAUCUGUCCCAUGAAAUAUGGAGCUUCAGAUGCUUUAGGUUUGCAUUGAUACAUUUUGUGUCUCCACUUUGCAGGCCUGACUGGCUUCUCUCUUGCCAAGAUGUUUUCCCUGGCAAGUCCCUCCAUGCUCCUUCCCUCCAAGCCCUUGCCUCCCAUCCUGAAGAGCUCUCUUUCAACCAUCCCAAGCCAGAUAUUGAGCAGAGAGCAGGAGACUGGGAAACCUGGCACCAGCUGGGAUGAGGACAAUAGAAAAACCCAGGAGCUGAGUUCAGAGGGAAAAGGACAUAAGGUUUUCUUGAUGCCUAUAAGUUCCAGUGUUGGGGUUAUGAAGAAGAGGUCAUUGCUACCGCCUUUGAUCCCCUCUAUAUGCAAGGCAGACCAUCCAGCCCUUGGCAAACUGACUGAGUGUGGUGAUCCCAAACACUUUUUCCUGGACACUCCCCAUGUGCCCUUACGUGCCAAGUUCUUCUCUCCCAUCCAGAAGAGUUCUCUUUCUUCUGAGCCCAAUAAGAUGUGCAAGAAGAAGGAGAAACGUAUGAAAAAUCACACUGUCUCUGAUGACAGCUGUGGGAAUAAGAAGGAGCUGAUCUCAGCAGGAAAAGGAUGUAAGGUCAGGAAAGAAAGCAAAAUCCUGUGUGGUAGAUUUUCAGUUUAUGUUCUGUAGGAAGUUCUGAGACCUUUUCCUCUGCUGUGAGCCCAAGAGAGCCAAGGAAGAGCUCAGCUGGACACUGUGGUGCUUCAGGCUGUCUUUGCAAUGGGUGUGUAGUGCAGACUUCAUGUCCUCAGCAUGUAUCAAUAACAGGAGAGGUCUUUGAAUGGUUUCUGGGCUCUGUCCUGGCUCCUCCUCUGCCUUAGGGCUGAGAAAACACCAACAAGCAGUCAGAGCAGCUGAAGUUGUCCACUCUGGUUUAGUGUAUCUCAGUCUAUCCCUCAGCAUUUCUCUUUCUAUUCUGUAUCUGAGGCCAAGCUGCUUCAUCAGUCUGACUCUUCUUUUCCUGCCCAUGUCCCAGCUAUAAGAGCAUGGCUAAAUUUCUUGAGGCAUCGAGUGGGGCAAGGCUGGAUGCUUGAGCUGAGCAGAGUGUUGUACUCUCUCUAGGUUUCCUUGAUGCCUGUGUGCUCCUGUGCUGGGGUUAUGAAGAAGGGGUCGUUGGGACUGCCUGUAAUCCCCGCUAUACGCAAGGCACACAACCCAGCUUUUGGCAGUGAGGGGAAGGCUGAGCAUGGCUCGGCCUCACACAGAGGUGAGGGCAGAGCUGGGUCACUCUCUGGGAGGAAGGUGGGAGGAAGGGUCCUGUGGCAGCCCAGAGAGGCUGUGCACAUUGCCAGGGAACAGUUGUGCCCUGCAUGUGCCCCCUGCAAGGAGCAGCCGGAGCAUGUUUCCCAGUUCAGCUCUUUGGAAGAUUCCAGGAAAUCUGUCCCAUGAAAUACGGAGCUUCAGAUGCUUUAGGUUUGCAUUGCAGACUCUGACAUAUUUUGUGUCUUCACUUUGCAGAUCUGACUGGCUACAGUCUUUCCAAAAAGUUUUCCCUGGACACUUCCUAUGUUCCCUUACCCUUACCUUACACAAAGUACUUGCCUCCCAUUCAGAAGAGCUCUCUUUCCUCUGAUCUCAGGAAGAAGCUGCCACCUGUCUGAAGAGUAUUUAAAGAACAGGAUUUAUGUGUUAGGGUUCAUAGUUACAGGUAUUCUGUAUGUUCUGUAUC